rnacentral:rRNA from 1 species
GUAGUUAGCCGGGGCUUUCUUACAGGGUACCGUCACUUCUUCGUCCCCUGCGACAGAGGUUUACAAUCCGAAAACCUUCUUCCCUCACGCGGCGUUGCUGGGUCAGGCUUGCGCCCAUUGCCCAAUAUUCCCCACUGCUGCCUCCCGUAGGAGUCUGGACCGUGUCUCAGUUCCAGUGUGGCCGAUCAGCCUCUCAGCUCGGCUACCCAUCGCUGACUAGGUGGGCCGUUACCCCGCCUACUAUCUAAUGGGACGCGAGCCCCUCUCUCUGCGGAUUGCUCCUUUGACCUCUCUACCAUGCGGUAAUGUGGUCUUAUGCGGUAUUAGUACACCUUUCGGUGUGUUAUCCCCCUGUGAAGGACAGAUUGUUCACGCGUUACUCACCCGUCCGCCGCUAAUCAUCCGGGAGCAAGCUCCCAUCUGAUUCGCUCGACUUGCAUGUAUUAGGCACGCCGCCACGCGUUCGUCCUCGACGCCACUAAUACAAACCUACUACGUACGUACGAGCGGGCGUCGGCGAACGGACGCGAUA